rnacentral:rRNA from 1 species
ACUCAAAUGAAUUGACGGGGGCCCGCACAAGCGGUGGAGCAUGUGGUUUAAUUCGACGCAACGCGAAGAACCUUACCGGGGUUUGACAUGCACGGGACAGGUGUGGAAACACACCCUCCCUUCGGGGUCCGUGCACAGGUGCUGCAUGGCUGUCGUCAGCUCGUGUCGUGAGAUGUUGGGUUAAGUCCCGCAACGAGCGCAACCCUUGUCGCUAGUUGCCAGCGGGUAAUGCCGGGCACUCUAGCGAGACUGCCGGUGGUAAGCCGGAGGAAGGUGGGGAUGACGUCAAGUCCUCAUGGCCCUUACAUCCCGGGCUACACACGUGCUACAAUGGCCGGUACAAAGGGUUCCGAUAUCGCGAGAUGGAGGCAAUCCCACAAAGCCGGUCUCAGUUCGGAUUGCAGUCUGCAACUCGACUGCAUGAAGGUGGAAUCGCUAGUAAUCGCGAAUCAGCAGGUCGCGGUGAAUACGUUCCCGGGCCUUGUACACACCGCCCGU